UACGUAGGUGGCAAGCGUUGUCCGGAUUUACUGGGCGUAAAGAGCGCGCAGGCGGCCUGAUGAGUCGAAUGUGAAAGCCCCCGGCUCAACUGGGGAGGGUCAUUCGAUACUGUCAGGCUCGAAGGCAGGAGAGGGAAGCGGAAUUCCCGGUGUAGUGGUGAAAUGCGUAGAUAUCGGGAGGAACACCAGUGGCGAAGGCGGCUUUCUGGCCUGUUCUUGACGCUGAGGCGCGAAAGCCAGGGGAGCGAACGGG
rnacentral:rRNA from 1 species